rnacentral:rRNA from 1 species
AUGUUUUCCGAGCAUUCGAAGACGCUCGGCCACUCGAAUAAUGAAUCCUCUUUCCCUGGUCACCUGGACUUUUUGAAGGACAAGCCUAGUGAAGUCCAAUGCAAUUCAUUUGCUUUUGGAGUGAUUUUGCUGGAGAUCAUUAGUGGACGGCUUCCUUACUGCAAGGACAAUGGAUAUUUGGUUCACUGGGCUAUCAAGUACCUCCAGCAGCCCAAGGAGAUCAGUAAGCUGGUCGACCCGGAGCUGACCAACGUGAGACCUGAUCACCUUGCUGUGAUCUGCGGUGUGGUGAGACGGUGCCUCGAACCCCUCCGUUCCCAGAGACCAUCAUUGCAGACCAUCGCAGGGGAUCUAGAGAAUGGCAUUUGCCUAUCCUCAACUCUAAUGGCCGGCAAACACGGAGGCGUCACCACUGCCCCCCAUCACAUUCACCACACAAACUGUCCAACACAAUCAAACGCAGAACAUGGUGCAACAUCAUGUCAGGAAGGGGACAGCACUGCAUCUCUGAGCCCCCACACGACUAAGCCACACGGAAUUGCAUGGCGGCCAAGCGUUCUGCGAUCUGAGAUAAACCCAAAACGCCGGCUCGCCAACUUUAGCAAGCGAUUUAUAAAUAGAGCCAAGGAGGUGGAGAAGGCAGCAUGCAAGAAAUCAGUAUUAGCUUUGACGAAAAUAUACAGUAGAUCCAGGUGA